rnacentral:rRNA from 1 species
CCUACGGGUGGCUGCAGUGAGGAAUAUUGGUCAAUGGUCGAGAGACUGAACCAGCCAUGCCGCGUGCAGGAAGAAGGCCUUAUGGGUUGUAAACUGCUUUUGUACGGGAGAAAAAAGACAGUCGCGCAUUGUCAUUGAUAGUACCGUAAGAAUAAGGAUCGGCUAACUCCGUGCCAGCAGCCGCGGUAAUACGGAGGAUCCAAGCGUUAUGCGGUUAAAGUGGGUUUAGGCGGAUCGUUAAGUCAUUAUUGAAAGGCUAAAGCUUAACUUUAGAAGUGGCAUUGAUACUGGUAGUCUUGAGUACAGAUGAAGUGGGCGGAAUGUGUCAUGUAGCGGUGAAAUGCAUAGAUAUGACACAGAACACCGAUUGCGAAGGCAGCUCACUAAGUUGUAACUGACGCUGAGGCACGAAAGCGUGGGGAUCAAACAGGAUUAGAUACCCCUGUAGUC